UACGUAGGGCGCAAGCGUUGUCCGGAAUUAUUGGGCGUAAAGAGCUCGUAGGCGGUCUGUCGCGUCUGCCGUGAAAACCCAUGGCUUAACUGUGGGCUUGCGGUGGAUACGGGCGGACUUGAGGUAGGUAGGGGAGAAUGGAAUUCCCGGUGUAGCGGUGAAAUGCGCAGAUAUCGGGAGGAACACCGGUGGCGAAGGCGGUUCUCUGGGCCUUACCUGACGCUGAGGAGCGAAAGCGUGGGGAGCGAACAGG
rnacentral:rRNA from 2 species